GACAAAAUUGACUUUUGUGAGACAAAAUUCACUUUUGUGAGACAAAAUUCAAUGUUGUCAAUUUUUAUCAAUAUUGUCUCACAAAAGUCAAUUUUGUCUCACAAAAGUCAAUUUUGUCAAUUUUGUC
rnacentral:sRNA from 1 species